GAUGAACGCUGGCGGUAUGCUUAACACAUGCAAGUCGAACGGACUCUUCGGAGUUAGUGGCGGACGGGUGAGUAACGCGUGAGAAUCUGGCUUUGGGUUCGGGACAACCACUGGAAACGGUGGCUAAUACCGGAUGUGCCGAGAGGUAAAAGAGAAGUUGCCUGAAGAUGAGCUCGCGUCUGAUUAGCUAGUUGGUGAGGUAAAGGCUCACCAAGGCAGCGAUCAGUAGCUGGUCUGAGAGGAUGACCAGCCACACUGGGACUGAGACACGGCCCAGACUCCUACGGGAGGCAGCAGUGGGGAAUUUUCCGCAAUGGGCGAAAGCCUGACGGAGCAAUACCGCGUGAGGGAAGAAGGCUCUUGGGUUGUAAACCUCUUUUCUUAGGGAAGAACAAAAUGACGGUACCUAAGGAAUCAGCAUCGGCUAACUCCGUG
rnacentral:rRNA from 1 species